GUCCACGCCGUAAACGAUGUCAACUAGCCGUUGGAAUCCUUGAGAUUUUAGUGGCGCAGCUAACGCAUUAAGUUGACCGCCUGGGGAGUACGGCCGCAAGGUUAAAACUCAAAUGAAUUGACGGGGGCCCGCACAAGCGGUGGAGCAUGUGGUUUAAUUCGAAGCAACGCGAAGAACCUUACCAGGCCUUGACAUGCAGAGAACUUUCCAGAGAUGGAUUGGUGCCUUCGGGAACUCUGACACAGGUGCUGCAUGGCU
rnacentral:rRNA from 1 species